UGGUCAUCAUGCACUCCUCCUGAUGUCACUGAACUUCAGUUUCCACCCAACAGCACUAGCCAACAUGUCGAGCAAUGCUGGAAGAUGAAUUCUAACAACAUCUGGAAAGGAGGCAUGAUUCCCAACAUGUUCUAAAGCCAUUAACACAGCCACAGAUUCCCCUGAGACCAAGAAGUCUGCCAUCGCAAUGGUGUUACUGUCUGUGGACCAGAAAAGUCCAAUACCAGCAGAUUCCAUGCCAGAUUUGGACAGCAUUCCCAGUCAAAGCAACAGAUCAGAGCCUUCUCUGUGGCAUCAGAAGGGCCCAGAGCUUGUAGGAAUUUAAUCGAAGAGGACUGUCCCCAUUACUGUCUAUUCAGUAGGUGACGGACGCUCACAUUAGCCUUCCUGGUAGGCAAGCAGAGUUUCACCAAACCCCUCUCACCCACGUCAAGCUCCACAACACUUUCUCCUUGGCUACUGGUCUCUGCAUACUUGUCUGGAAAAGGGAAAAAAGGGGGCCAAGUGCAAGCUUCAGAAAGACAGGGAGAAGAGAGUAGAAGAAUUCCUUUCCAUCACUGCCAGGGACGCUAAUGAGAGAGCGACGAUUCCCUGACGAUUGAGGAAGCAGGCCUGGCUUCCAGACACGUGUGCUUACUCCACCUUUUUAAGGAUGUUUGAGCCAUGUUUGACCAGCGAUGGAGCCAGGUGAAUAACAUGCUGCAGUCCCUCCAACAUUUCACAAAUGAAAACUGGAACACGUGUGACCAAGCAACACCUGAGUAUGGUCAAGAUGGCAACAGUUAAUGAAAAAGAAUACACAAACUAGGAGAGGCUGCAGCAGUUUCCUCCCAGCUAUGUCUACUGGGAAGGCAACUGAAGUAAGCUGAGGAUAAAAGGGAAAAAUGGGAAGAGGAGAGAGAAACUGAGACAUUAAAAAAGCAGCUGAAAAGUAUAACAAGAGAGGAUUAAUGGAGACUGUGGGUGACAAAUCAAUACACUUGAAGGAUAUGUAUGAUGGCACUCCCAUCUCAUUCCACAUACAAAAGAUGGCUGGAUUGGCAGAUGCAUUUUCUUCAACACUUUGAAGGGGUGACAUAAUUGACUGGACCAGAAAGCAGAAGACUACCCUAGGGGAUGCAAUGUGGGUUGCAUGUAGAGGGCUUCCCUAUGCAAACCUGUCACAGUCCUCAGGGGAAGGCUCUCUCUCAGUCCCACCACCAUCACAGGGCCAUCUAUUAAGAGAUUUCUCAGUGGCUGCUUCCGGGUUCUGGAAUUCCACAAGAAGAUAGGCUGCCCCCACUGUCUGCUUCCUUUUUUAUUUACUUUUUCUUUAAAAAAAAUUAUUCAGUGAUAAGAUUCUUAAGUAUGUUACACGAUAUCUGACAAUCACAAGCUUUCUGCAAUUUCAAAUACAUAUCUUCAGGUACAUUUCAUACAUCGCAUUACUUCUUGUUAUUUUCCCUUUUACAUAAAUUCUCCUUCCAUCCAGCCCAACACUGUUAUAUAUAGUUUCGUUUGGCUCUUGUUAGAGCAAUUUUAUAGCUGUAUGCUUUAUAUCCUCUAUUCAAAGAAUAGUUUCAAUAGUUUGUAGUUUAAAUAUGUGAUUGGCAAAAGUUUAUAAAAGUUUUAUACAUCCAUAUCAAUUUAAUUCCAUUUACCUGUGCACAUAGUAAAGUCUAUUAAUCACUAUCAUCUUUUUCACUUUUUAGAAGGAUAUUGACUUGAUUGAAUGUUGGUGCAAGACUCCGAAUGAUCGUAAUAUAUUUUUAGAUUUACUGUUUCCAUAGUGCUAGCAAAUGAUUAGAAGAUAAUGUCAGAUACUUUCUAAUGUGUCUUUUGGCUUUUCCUAUCUUAUAAAAAAUUUG